rnacentral:rRNA from 1 species
GACGAACGCUGGCGGCGUGCCUAAUGCAUGCAAGUCGCACGCGGCACCUUCGGGUGCUGAGUGGCGAACGGCUGAGGAACACGUGGGGACCUGUCCGGGAGUGGGGGACAACACCGCGAAAGCGGUGCUAAUCCCGCAUACGCUCUGAGGAGGAAAGCCGAAAGGCGCUCCCGGGUGGCCCUGCGGCCCAUCAGGUUGUUGGUGGGGUAACGGCCUACCAAGCCAAUGACGGGUCGCUGGUCUGUGAGGACGACCAGCCAGACUGGGACUGGGACACGGCCCAGACUCCUACGGGAGGCAGCAGCAAGGAAUUUUCGGCAAUGGGCGCAAGCCUGAACGAGCAACGCCGCGUGCAGGAAGACGGCCUUCGGGUUGUAAACUGCUUUUGCUAGGGAGGAUAACAGACAGUACCUGGCGAAUCAGCCCCGGCUAACUCUGUG